rnacentral:rRNA from 1 species
UACGGAGGAUCCGAGCGUUAUCCGGAUUUAUUGGGUUUAAAGGGAGCGUAGGUGGAUUGUUAAGUCAGUUGUGAAAGUUUGCGGCUCAACCGUAAAAUUGCAGUUGAAACUGGCAGUCUUGAGUACAGGAGAGGAAAGCGGAAUUCCUAGUGUAGCGGUGAAAUGCGUAGAUAUUAGGAAGAACACCAGUGGCGAAGGCGGCUUUCUGGACUGAAACUGACGCUGAGGCACGAAAGCGUGGGGAGCGAACAGG